GGCCCUAUGGUCUAGUGGUAUGAUACUCGCUUUGGGUAGCUUUAGCUGGACAGCAUGCGAGUGGUCCCGGAUUCGAAUUCCGGUGGGGCCC